AAAAAUGGUUAUCGUGUCUCAGCCAACUAGGCAAUAUUCCGUCUCGCGUCUAUGAGAAAUUUUUAAUUUACGACAACCGACUGAACGGAUGAAUGGUGGACAACGUCAGCAUAGGCAAACGGAUAAUACUUAGAUGGGGAUGGUAUAACAAUGAGCCAAACUAACCUCCGAGUGAAUUCACCUAUGGUGGACAACUCCUUUCUUCCUGGUAUCACAAUGAGCCAAACUAGCCUCCGAGUAAACUCACCUAUGGUGGACAACCC